UUUUGGUUGCCACAGUUACGACCGUGAAACGGAAGUCUUAACCUACUUCCGGAGCAACUUUGAACUGCGCACGCGCAGCGCAUCGACGCUAGUGUAAACAAACUCCACGGUGUUGCUAAGCUAACGAAAAAGUUGUAUUUACGUUGAAGUCUAUGCUAAAGCCACUAGCCUCAAAGGUUAGCCGUUAGCAUUAACAUCCAGUGGUUGAAUAGUGUCUGUUUGGGCAACGCUAAAGUGAUUUAACCCUUUAAACAUCACAACUAACACUUGUUGGUCUCUUUCUCUCUCUUAUUUCUCUCUUUUCUCACGAUACCAUUUAUUGACAUUUUACUAGAAAGGGAAAUAUUGACUAAAAAUUAUUAAUUGUCAAAUUCAAAUUUAAUUGGAACAUUUUAUUUGGAAUCAUUCAGAUUUCCCUCUUAGAUCAUUUCAUAUGAUCAUUACUUCUAGUAUUUUGGGGGCUAAUUAUUUUUAGGUACGAUUAAGACUUGAACUUUGAAAGUUUAAGUAAACUUGUUCUACCUAAUUUAUUUAUUACCCAUCUGACUAUAUUCUAUUCAGACCUGUACUUAUUUUAUUGCGUUUUACCCCUCUUUCUUCCUGUUUUGGUUAUACAUUUAGCCACUAUUGUUUUAUUUAUAGAUUUUCUCCUUUAUUUAAUUUAAUUUUUGCUUAUUUUGCCCAUUUAUUACUUUUUAAUUUGACCUUUUCUUACCAUUUCUUUCCUCUGUGUAUCCUAGCUUGGGAACGACACACCUGAGCCCUAAAAGGAGACAUUGUUAUCCCUCACUACGAGUUCAAAUAAAUUAGAAAGACAACUCUCUUUCACUUAAAGUUUAUUUUGUUGAUUAGUUGUACAGCAACUAAAACAACGCUCUCCUCGUAGUUGAGAUAACCGCUACUGAGACUAACCAUCUCCGUCCCCUCUCUCCUUUCCUUUCCUCUUCACUUUUAACAUUUGUAGGGACAUGUAAGAACCAUCAAUCAAUUCAAAGUGAAUGAAAUACGCAAUCUUGUCAAAGAAGACGAAUCAUCCUUAUGAAUUUGACCUUUUCUUACCAUUUCUUUCCUCUGUGUAUCCUAGCUUGGGAACGACACACCUGAGCCCUAAAAGGAGACAUUGUUAUCCCUCACUACGAGUUCAAAUAAAUUAGAAAGACAACUCUCUUUCACUUAAAGUUUAUUUUGUUGAUUAGUUGUACAGCAACUAAAACAACGCUCUCCUCGUAGUUGAGAUAACCGCUACUGAGACUAACCAUCUCAGUCCCCUCUCUCCUUUCCUUUCCUCUUCACUUUUAACAUUUGUAGGGACAUGUAAGAACCAUCAGUCAAUUCAAAGUGAAUGAAAUACGCAAUCUUGUCAAAGAAGACGAAUCAUCCUUAUGAAUUUGAUUGUAAUCAACCUCUCCUUUGUUCUUCCUAACCUCCCUACAUUUGGAAACGCAAUCCAAGUUUUAGCAUCUCAUCCAACGCUGAGAUCAAUUUAAUAGAGAUACGUGUUGAACAACUGUCGCCUUCGCAGCCUCCCUGGUGAGCGGUCCAACUGUAAGGUGUAUGGUGUCAAUCCUGUCAGACUAAGAAAAGAGAUAUCAGCAUUAUUAUUGUAUUCUUUUGUCCAAAACAAGAGAUUUAAUAAUAUUGUUUACCUUCUUGAUAACAUAUAAUUGGGAAAAUUAAUUUUCCUCAUUUGAAAAACAGAAAUUGUUGCUUGUCAUUGAAUUUUUCACCUCUUUCUCUCUUUUCCUCUUCCUCAUUAGCGUGACAAAGUCUUCGCAUCUCUAGUCUACUUAGACACCCUGAGACCAGCACAGUCAUCACCACACUUCACUAGUGGUUCACAAUCACUGACACAACACUUAGUUGUCCCACCACACAUAGGCUUUUACUCUACACAGAUCUGUGUCAGUCUC
ensembl:lncRNA